UACGUAGGGAGCAAGCGUUAAUCGGAAUUACUGGGCGUAAAGCGUGCGCAGGCGGUUGUGUAAGACAGAUGUGAAAUCCCCGGGCUCAACCUGGGAACUGCAUUUGUGACUGCACGGCUGGAGUGCGGCAGAGGGGGAUGGAAUUCCGCGUGUAGCAGUGAAAUGCGUAGAUAUGCGGAGGAACACCGAUGGCGAAGGCAAUCCCCUGGGCCUGCACUGACGCUCAUGCACGAAAGCGUGGGGAGCAAACAGG
rnacentral:rRNA from 1 species